rnacentral:rRNA from 1 species
CCUACGGGUGGCAGCAGUGGGGGAUAUUGGACAAUGGGGGGAACCCUGAUCCAGCGACGCCGCGUGAGUGAAGAAGUAUCUCGGUAUGUAAAGCCCUGUCAGCAGGGAAGCAAGAAAUGACGGUACCUGACCAAGAAGCCACGGCUAACUACGUGCCAGCAGCAGCGGGAAUACGGAGGGGGCAAGCGUUAUCCGGAAUGACUGGGUGUAAAGGGAGCGUAGACGGUUAAGUAAGUCUGGAGUGAAAGGCCGGGGCCCAACCCCGGGACUGCGCUGGAAACUAUUCCACUUGAGUGCAGGAGAGGUAAGCGGAAUGCCUAGUGUAGCGGUGAAAUGCGUAGAUAUUAGGAGGAACACCAGGGGCGAAGGCGGGUUACUGGACUGUAACUGACGUGGAGGCACGAAAGCGUGGGGAGCAAACAGGAUUAGAUACCCGUGUAGUC